GGAAGAGUGGCCGAGCGGUCUAAGGCGCUGGAUUGAGGCUCCAGUCUUUUUGGAGGCGUGGGUUCAAAUCCCACAGCUGCCA